CCUACGGGGCGCAGCAGUGAGGAAUAUUGGUCAAUGGGCGGGAGCCUGAACCAGCCAAGUCGCGUGAGGGAAGACGGCCCUAUGGAUUGUAAACCUCUUUUGUCGGGGAGCAAAGAGAUCACGUGUGGUCAAAAGCGAGAGUACCCGAAGAAAAAGCAUCGGCUAACUCCGUGCCAGCAGCCGCGGUAAUACGGAGGAUGCGAGCGUUAUCCGGAUUUAUUGGGUUUAAAGGGUGCGUAGGCGGGACGGUAAGUCAGCGGUAAAAAUGCGGAGCUCAACUCCAUCGAGCCGGUGAAACUGCCGUU
rnacentral:rRNA from 1 species